GAUGAACGCUGGCGAGAUGCUUUACACAUGCAAGUCGUACGAGAGUCUUUGACUCAAGUGGCGGACGGGUGAGUAACACGUAAGAAUUUGCCUUUAGGAGGGGGACAACAACUGGAAACGGUUGCUAAUACCCCAUAUGCUUUCGAGUGAAAUGGAUUUUUCCGCCUAGAGAGAAGCUUGCGGCUGAUUAGCUUGUUGGUGAGGUAAUGGCUCACCAAGGCGACGAUCAGUAUCUGGUUUGAGAGGACGAUCAGACACACUGGAACUGAGACACGGUCCAGACUCCUACGGGAGGCAGCAGUGGGGAAUUUUCCGCAAUGGGCGAAAGCCUGACGGAGCAAUCUCGCGUGAGGGAUGACUGCCUAUGGGUUGUAAACCUCUUUUUUCAGGGAGGAAUAAAUGACGUGUACCUGAAGAAUAAGCAUCGGCUAACUCCGUG
rnacentral:rRNA from 1 species